rnacentral:rRNA from 1 species
GAGUUUGAUCGUGGCUCAGAACGAACGCUGGCGGCGUGGAUAAGACAUGCAAGUCGAACGGGAGAAUUGCUAGCUUGCUAAUAAUUCUCUAGCGGCGCACGGGUGAGUAACACGUGAGUAACCUGCCCCCGAGAGCGGGAUAGCCCUGGGAAACUGGGAUUAAUACCGCAUAGUAUCGAAAGAUUAAAGCAGCAAUGCGCUUGGGGAUGGGCUCGCGGCCUAUUAGUUAGUUGGUGAGGUAACGGCUCACCAAGGCGAUGACGGGUAGCCGGUCUGAGAGGAUGUCCGGCCACACUGGAACUGAGACACGGUCCAGACACCUACGGGUGGCAGCAGUCGAGAAUCAUUCACAAUGGGGGAAACCCUGAUGGUGCGACGCCGCGUGGGGAAUGAAGGUCUUCGGAUUGUAAACCCCUGUCAUGUGGGAGCAAAAUUAAAAAGAUAGUACCACAAGAGGAAGAGACGGCUAAACUCUGUGCCAGCAGCCGCGGUAAC